UACGGGGGGGGCAAGCGUUGUUCGGAAUUACUGGGCGUAAAGGGUUCGUAGGUGGCCAACUAAGUCAGACGUGAAAUCCCUCAGCUUAACUGGGGAACUGCGUCUGAUACUGGUUGGCUUGAGUGCAGGAGAGGAACGCGGAAUUCCAGGUGUAGCGGUGAAAUGCGUAGAUAUCAGGAGGAACACCGGUGGCGAAGGCGGCUAUCUGGACAGAGUCUGACGCUGAUGCGCGAAAGCUAGGGGAGCAAACAGG
rnacentral:rRNA from 1 species